rnacentral:rRNA from 1 species
UUGGGAGGUAAAUUUUUCCUAAGGGUAAAAAACGGCGAGAGACCUGCGACAAGUACCGUGAGGGAAGAUGAAAAGAACUUUGAAAAGAGAGUUAAACAGUACGUGAAAUUGUUGAAAGGGAAACGAUUGAAGCCAGUCGUACCUUCGGGUAAUCAGCCUUUCGGGUGCGAUUCUGUGGAGUGUGAGGAGCUUAAACCCCUUCUGGUUUUGCAUAUUCGUACUCUGGGGGGAACUUGCCCGUAGGGUUGGUUAACAUCAUUUUUGGUGGUUAUAAAAUGACGGGAGGAUGAACCUUCAAUAA